rnacentral:rRNA from 1 species
GCUGGCGGUAGGCUUAACACAUGCAAGUCGUGCGAGAAAGUAUCUUCGGAUAUGAGUAGAGCGGCGGACGGGUGAGUAACGCGUAGGAAUCUACCUAGUAGAAGGGGAUAGCCCGAGGAAACUCGGAUUAAUACCGUAUACCUCCUUAGGGAGAAAGAGGGCCUCUCUUGAAGCUUUCGCUAUUAGAUGAGCCUGCGUAAGAUUAGCUUGUUGGUGAGGUAAUGGCUCACCAAGGCUACGAUCUUUAGCUGGUCUGAGAGGACGAUCAGCCACAUUGGGACUGAGACACGGCCCAGACUCCUACGGGAGGCAGCAGUGGGGAAUAUUGGACAAUGGGCGCAAGCCUGAUCCAGCCAUACCGCGUGUGUGAAGAAGGCCUUCGGGUUGUAAAGCACUUUAAGCAGGGAGAAAAAGUUAUAAGUUAAUACCUUAUGACCGUGAUGUUACCUGCAGAAUAAGCACCGGCUAAUUCCGUGCCAGCAGCCGCGGUAAUACGGAAGGUGCAAGCGUUAAUCGGAAUUACUGGGCGUAAAGCGCGCGUAGGUGGUUUGUUAAGUUGGAUGUGAAAGCCCUGGGCUCAACCUAGGAACUGCAUCCAAAACUAAUUGACUAGAGUACGAUAGAGGGAGGUAGAAUUCAUAGUGUAGCGGUGGAAUGCGUAGAUAUUAUGAAGAAUACCAGUGGCGAAGGCGGCCUCCUGGAUCUGUACUGACACUGAGGUGCGAAAGCGUGGGUAGCGAACAGGAUUAGAUACCCUGGUAGUCCACGCCGUAAACGAUGACAACUAGCUGUUGGAAGACAAUGUUUUUCAGUGGCGCAGCUAACGUUUUAAGUUGUCCGCC